rnacentral:rRNA from 1 species
GAUGAACGCUGGCGGCGUGCCUAAUACAUGCAAGUCGAGCGAACAGACGAGGAGCUUGCUCCUCUGACGUUAGCGGCGGAUGGGUGAGUAACACGUGGAUAACCUACCUAUAAGACUGGGAUAACUUCGGGAAACCGGAGCUAAUACCGGAUAAUAUAUUGAACCGCAUGGUUCAAUAGUGAAAGACGGUUUUGCUGUCACUUAUAGAUGGAUCCGCGCCGCAUUAGCUAGUUGGUAAGGUAACGGCUUACCAAGGCAACGAUGCGUAGCCGACCUGAGAGGGUGAUCGGCCACACUGGAACUGAGACACGGUCCAGACUCCUACGGGAGGCAGCAGUAGGGAAUCUUCCGCAAUGGGCGAAAGCUUGACGGAGCAACGCCGCGCGAGUGAUGAAGGUCUUCGGAUCGUAAAACUCUGUUAUUAGGGAAGAACAAAUGUGUAAGUAACUAUGCACGUCUUGACGGUACCUAAUCAGAAAGCCACGGCUAACUACGUG